rnacentral:rRNA from 1 species
AUUGAACGCUGGCGGCAGGCUUAACACAUGCAAGUCGAGCGGGGUGAUGGUGCUUGCACUAUCACUUAGCGGCGGACGGGUGAGUAAUGCUUAGGAAUCUGCCUAUUAGUGGGGGACAACAUCUCGAAAGGGAUGCUAAUACCGCAUACGUCCUACGGGAGAAAGCAGGGGAUCACUCGUGACCUUGCGCUAUAGAUGAGCCUAAGUCGGAUUAGCUAGUUGGUGGGGUAAAGGCCUACCAAGGCGACGAUCUGUAGCGGGUCUGAGAGGAUGAACCGCCACACUGGGACGGAGACACGGCCCAGACUCCUACGGGAGGCAGCAGUGGGGAAUAUUGGACAAUGGGGGGAACCCUGAUCCGGCCAUGCCGCGUGUGUGAAGAAGGCCUUAUGGUUGUAAAGCACUUUAAGCGAGGAGGAGGCUCUUUUGGUUAAUACCCAAGAUGAGUGGACGUUACUCGCAGAAUAAGCACCGGCUAACUCUGUGCCAGCCGCCGCCGUAA